AUGAUUCUAAACUCCAACAGUAACCUCACAUGAUGCAAAUUCAACUGUAGUAGAACUAAAAGGAGGUACAUGAUCAUUUGCAGGAUGAUCUGUCUCUGAUUGUUGCUCCAUGUCAGAAUUGUUUACAUGUGGAUAAUUGUUUUUCAUAGCAGAUUCUCUGUGCCUUCCAAGCUUUGGAGAUCUUGGGCGGGUUGUUGGUAUCUAAUUGAUAGGUGAAAUGCAUUACCAUAUAUAUGUAAGGAAGAAAAAUAUUAUUACAUUGAAAUUAUAAA